CAAAAAAGAAAAGGGAGAUGAAGGAUAACAGGACGUUUUUAAAGCUGGAUGAACAGACUCAUGAUUUGCAUAAAGGAUAAUGGAACAGAUUUCUUCUCAAAGGACAAUAGUCUUUAAAGGGAUUGGUUGUGAAGUCCUGAAGGUAUUCAAUUAGAUAUUCCAUUGAGAACUAAAUCUUCCAGUUACUAAUCAGCUUUUUAGAUGUAUG